UGGGGAAUAUUACACAAUGGGCGAAGGCCUGAUGCACCAACGCCGCGUGAGCGAUGAAGGCCUUCGGGUCGUAAAGCUCUGUCCUCAAGGAAGAUAAUGACGGUACUUGAGGAGGAAGCCCCGGCUAACUACGUGCCAGCAGCCGCGGUAAUACGUAGGGGGCUAGCGUUAUCCGGAAUUACUGGGCGUAAAGGGUGCGUAGGUGGUUUCUUAAGUCAGAGGUGAAAGGCUACGGCUCAACCGUAGUAAGCCUUUGAAACUGUGAAACUUGAGUGCAGGAGGGGAGAGUGGAAUUCCUAGUGUAGCGGUGAAAUGCGUAGAUAUUAGGAGGAACACCAGUUGCGAAGGCGGCUCUCUGGGCUGUAACUGACACUGAGGCGCGAAAGCGUGGGGAGCAAGCA
rnacentral:rRNA from 1 species